rnacentral:rRNA from 1 species
CAGUCGCCACGGUAAUACGUAGGGCGCAAGCGUUGUCCGGAAUUAUUGGGCGUAAAGAGCUCGUAGGCGGUCUGUCGCGUCUGGUGUGAAAUCCCGAGGCUCAACCUCGGGCUUGCAUCGGGUACGGGCAGACUAGAGUGCGGUAGGGGAGACUGGAAUUCCUGGUGUAGCGGUGGAAUGCGCAGAUAUCAGGAGGAACACCGAUGGCGAAGGCAGGUCUCUGGGCCGCAACUGACGCUGAGGAGCGAAAGCAUGGGGAGCGAACAGGAUUAGAGACCCCAGUAGUCCCUGUCUCUUAUAC